AUGUUGUGGCGCUUCUCCCCACCGGGUUCGGGAAAAGUUAGAUUUUCCAGCUGGCUCCGUUAGUGGUGAAGGAGUUAGCUAAGGCGAACGCUAGCAAUGCGAACCUGAUAGUUGUUGUCGCCUCCCCUCUUGUUGCACUUAUGGAGGACCAAGUGAAGGAGGCAGAACAGUUGGGAGUUCGUGCUGGGCAGCUCGGCGUGCAUGAUGACUGUGACAUUCUGAAUGGAUACUUUAGUCUGGUGUUCGGCAGCCCCGAGUCCUGGCUGCUAAACAAUACAUGGCGACGGAUGCUAGCCUCAAGCAUUUACCAGGAAAACCUCAUUGGCAUUGUCGUUGACGAGGUCCACGUUACAUACAAAUGUUUCUCUCAAGGGCGAGGCUUCCAAAGGCGAGUCGGCAUUCCGAGACUGUUUUGCCAAGCUCGGAGAGCUAAGAUCUAUAGCCAAGGAGGGUACACCUAUUUUGGCUCUGACUGCCUCCGCUGACAUCAAGUCCAGAAGCAGAGUCAGCAGACUUCUCCAUAUGGACAAUGCCGUUUCCAUCAUUGCAAGUCCCAAUAAGACAAACAUCCGUCUUGGAUUGUGCAAGGUUCCCAGUUCCUCAUCACUUGAACUGCCUGGACUUGAUUGUGCAACAUGCAAAAGACAAGGGCUCAACGAUGCAACCAAUAUUAAUUUACUGCCAAAGCCUGAAAUCAGUGGGGAGAGUUUUCUCAUAUUUAAAGGCGGAACUGCAAGGACAUGCCUGGGUAGGCUGUGAUCCGGACUGUAGAAGUGUGAACCUCCUGAUUGGUAUGUUCUACAGCAAAACCCUCCCCCACAAGAAGGAGAGAGUGUUGGCUUCAAUGAGGGGGGAAGGGAAUUGCCGGAUAGUUGUGGCAACAACAGCUUUGGGGAUGGGGUUAAAUUUCCCUAAUGUUUCACACGUGGUAAUGUACGGAGCUCCAGGUGACCUAGAGGCAAUUUUACAAUAGGUGGGCAGGGCUGGGAGGCAUGGUCAUCCAUCACAUGCCAUCCUCUACAACAGUGGACAAUACUUCAAGGUGGAUGAAGAUGUAAAAAAAGUUGCUGUUGGUAAAGACACAUGUUUCAGGAAAUCUCUAUAUUCACAUUUUGAAGCAGAACCCAGCCAUGGAGAGCCAGGCCAUCUCUAUUGUACAUACUGUCAGACUGUUUGCUCUUGUUCAUCUGGCCCAUGUACAGAACCCACGCCAAAUUAUGAACCGACUGAAGCUGAACCAACUGAUCAGAGAUCUAGGCAUGUGGAUGUAAAUGAGAAGUCUUUGAUUGCAGAUUUGCUGAAUGACUACAGAGGUAGUUUAACCAAUUCAUCCAAUCCACUGUACGCCUCACAUGCAGACUGCACUGGAUUCAGUCAGCAACUGGUUGAUAAUGUAGGACCGGUCAAUACAUAUUUGACCGGUCCUACAUUAUCAAUAACCUUCCUGUGUUUAAAUUGGACAAUGCAAAGGAGAUUUUAAUUAUCAUCAGUGAUGUUUUUGGGGAUAUUGAUGGGGAUCCUGCAAUAUCAUUCAGAGAGGUAUUUAACUGACCCAAAUCUCUAUUACAGUAACUACUUUGACGAUGUUGAUGAUGCACUCAUGAAACGUGUCAGUAGCUCUGAGUCUGAAGUCUGGAGAUUUACCAUAAAGCUAUAUGAAAGGGUCGACUCGAAAUCUGAUCCAAUGAAAGAUGCGACCAAUAAUACCAACAUGACUUGUCACUGCAGGACCAGAACCCAAACCUCCAAACUGGGGCUUGGAUAGCAAAGGUGUGACAACAUCACAACAUGAGGAGGAUACGUCCGCUCCUCAGUCCUCACCCAGAAGGCCACGCAGGUUUAGGUCCAGGCUCUUGUCAUCAUUUGCCUAGACAACUGAAACUCCCUACUGGCUGGUCUGUCUGCGCCAUUCAACCCCUGUAGGGAAAACGUUGACUGCCAAGAUGGGACGGGCAUUAUGCAAUCCUAGAGACAACACACAAACAUACACACAUACAUCCUGGCAGAGGCCCUGGGCCACACUUAAAACAUAUCUUUGCCCAUCAAGCUUUUUUUUAAUAAUAAUUAAUAAUACGAUAAAAAGCUAACAAUUUUUUUUCUUAUUUUUCACUGUUUUUACGAGGAAAGUGUGCUCUUUUGGUCAAUUUGUGUGCGGCCAUGAUUCUUGCACUUUUUGGGUUUGUGUUUGUGUGUGUGCGCUUUUGUUUUUGGCAGUAAAAAAAAAAACAGUUCUGAAAAAUAAAAUUCCCGCCCCUGUCUGAGACCUAAUUGUGUCUAAGAGUAAUGACUUCACCCGUGAUUAAAUUAAAAAGGCUGUAAAAACCUCUUGUUAUUGCUUGCAGUCCUAGUUAUUGUUUGGUAUUAUUUUAAUUGGGUAUAUUUAUGGUUCUCUAGCAUCAUUUGUUAGCUUGAAUGAAACUUGUUUUGUUUUCAGAUGGAAUGUGUUAUUUCUCUGGAUUGGCAUGUAUUGAGCAAUGUAAUCCAAGUCUGGAAAUCUUGGAUAACAUUAUCCCAA